GAUGAAGAACGCAGCGAAAUGCGAUAAGUAAUGUGAAUUGCAGAAUUCCGUGAAUCAUCGAAUCUUUGAACGCACAUUGCGCCCCCUGGCAUUCCGGGGGGCAUGCCUGUCCGAGCGUCAUUUCUGCCCUCCAGCCCGGCUGGGUGUUGGGCGCUGUCCCCCCGGGGACACGCCCCAAAGGCAGUGACGGCGCCGCGUCGGGUCCUCGAGCGUAUGGGGCUUUGUCACCCGCUCGGGACGGACUCGUCGGCGCUGGUCUUCCUCCAGGCGACCCUUCGGGGCUCGUCUUCCUUCGGUUGACCUCGGAUCAGGUAGGGUUACCCGCUGAACUUAAGCAUAUCAAUAAGCGGAGGA
rnacentral:misc_RNA from 1 species